rnacentral:rRNA from 1 species
AUGUACAUUCCUACAACAUAGCAUUAAUGCACUAGAUCCCAUUAUAACUUCGUAGUUAAGCGCGCUCAUGCUAGAGUAGUACUAGGAUGGGUGACCACCCAGGAAGUCCUACUAUUUUACAUC